AUAUAUACACACAAAUAUUGUUUCUCAAUAUCUUUGGCAGUCCUUUUGAUUUGUGCCUGAUCUUUAUUAUUUUUUAUAUGUUAUUAUUAUAUUUUUAAUAUAAAGAAUAUUUUCCAUUGUGAUGUUAUUGGAAUGAUGGCCGAAAAUAAUGCCAACAAUGAGGGCAUCGAACUGAUGCUACAGUAUUUUCUUUCUUUAUAUUUAAUUAGCUAUAGUUAGUACCAGAUUGAGUUUUAGUCAUGAUCCAUAUAGUUGGUUUGCUUUGAUCACAAGUUAAUAUUAAUCCUACACCUCAAUAAGCUACAGUAUCUAUUCUGCUCAGAAUAUCAAUAACAAAUAAAUUCAAAACCGAAAGGGCACAAGUAAAAUAUAUACUUGCUACGCUGUGAUUGUAUUCCAUGAUGAAACAGACUAGUAAACGUAAUGUAUCUGUUUUUGUUGUUUCUCGUCACUUUCUUUAACUACAUCAGAGUUACUUCACAAAAAAUAGUAUUAUCUAUAACCUAUCUUAAAAACAAAAACUUGUGUAAUUAUUUAAUUGAUGUUGAGAUUUAGUGAAGCUCACAGUGGGUGAAUUAGUGUUUAUGUUUUAGUAGUGUUAGACUCGCACAAAAUUAAAAUUUAGAGUGUAGCUGUAAAAUAAGUCUUCCUUUUUUUAAUUUCAAGUUUAUAUUUGUUGACAUUUAGUUACAGAAGAAAGGAAGUGAUUCCAUUGAGCUCUGCAGUGGCUCAUUGGUAAGCUUGAGGGCUUAUUAUGCUAAAAACAAAUAGUUUUUCCAUUGAGUUAUAAUCUAGAAACAUUUUAAAUGGGUUUUAAUACACAAUGUGUGUGCGUGUACAUAAAUAAGCAUUGAAUGUAAAUAGCCGUGUUUGUCAGAUGAGAUGUUUUUAGCACAUUAAAUGUAACAAUUGAUUGGUAGAUUAUAGAAAUACUCAAGAUUUUGGAAUCAACAUGGGAUUAGUGAAAUCCUAAACUGGAUUGAAUUAAACAAUGAAGUCUUUGAGUUUAGGUGUAAAACUAGGAGUAAAAUCAGUCAUUGAGUCUAGGUGUCAGUCUUACAGUGAGACCAGUCAUUGUUUCUAGGUGUCAGUCUUACAGUAAGACCAGUCACUGAGUCUAGGUGUCAAGCUGAUAAGACCAGUCAUUGAGUCUAGGUGUCAAGCUGAUAAGACCAGUCACUGAGUCUAGGUGUCAAGCUGAUGAUAAGACCAAUCACUGAGUCUAGGUGUCAAGCUGAUAGUAAGACCAGUUGUUGAGUCAAGGUGUCAAGCUGAUAGUGAGACCAGACGUUGAGUCAAGGUGUCAAGCUGAUAGUGAGACCAGACGUUGAGUCUAGGUGUCAAGCUGAUAAUGAGAGCAGUCAUUGAGUCUAUGCCAGUCUUACAGUGAGACCAGUCAUUGUUUCUAGGUGUCAAUCUUACAGUAAGACCAGUCACUGAGUCUAGGUGUCAAGCUGAUAAUGAGAGCAGUCAUUGAGUCUAUGCCAGUCUGACACUGUUUACAAGGAGUUUUUUUGUUGUGUUUUUUUAUAUACAUGCAAAUACAAUUAUUUCCUAGUUAUGUCUUAUUGUUUUGGUUACAAAAAUGAGAGAGCUUUCCAGAUAAUAUGUUGAUAAGUUUGUGUACCUGUGUGUGUGUGUGUUUGAUAUUAGCAAGAAGUAACACCAGUACAUUGUUCUUCAUUACUGUUAGUUGUUGUGUUGAAUUGAUGUAUUAGUUAAAAAAUGGUAUGGUUAAACUUGAUUAUAUAUUUUAAAAGUUAUCACACCAUUAAUGGGUUGUAGAGUUUUACCCUUUUAGCAGAAAUGCAACUGUACUGCAACUUCUUCACUGGUGGCUAACAAACAUUGCAAUGUUAUUGUGCUAGAGGAGAAGGAAAAUCAGCAUGUGUGGAGGAGUGGGAUGAGUAGUUGAAUUUUAAAGUUUGAGAGAUGAUUUUGAAAACAUAUCAACAAUACAUUAAAUAUAAAUAAAUAUAACAUUUAAAGAAGUAGCAAUAUGAAAAACAAAGAUUUAAUUGGUUGCUGGUAUGUUAUACCACCUCACAGUGAGCAGUAAGCUGUGGGUACAUUCUAUGUAGUUCCUUGGCUAAUUGCAAAUGAACAUGAGUUACAUUGGGUUAAAAGGACUCAUUCCUUGAACAGUUUAUCAUAGUUUUUAUGUUUCGGUGCAAUCGGCGACCUCUGUUAGCUAAUGUCUGCAGUUCUAAUUAAAGGAAAAAUAUCCAAUUAAUAAAAAAGCCUUAAUACUAGCUCUAAUUACCACUGGAAAAAAAUUGGUAGUUGUUGGUAAAACUCCAUAAAUACAGAAGUGAAGAAAACUAUACAUUUUACAAAUAUAUAUGACCUAAUGUAAAUGAAAUGUUUGUAAAACUACAAGUGUCUUUGUUUUAUUCAAUUCUGUAACUAGCUACAACCUUUUCAGUGUGGUUAAACAGAAAUGGAUUGGAACAAGCAAGGCCUUAGCAACAACCUGGUAGUCUAGUGCAACACAAAAUUGAUUUAUGAGUAUGAUAACAAGUUGUAAAUAAACAUUGUUUGUACUGUAUAUUAUUCAGUCUUGUUUAUAUAAAAUAUCUGAAAUAAUCCAAAUAUUGGUUAAUACCAACAAGUUAGAAAUGUAUAUGAACACAAACAAAAGUUAACAGAACAGUAAACAUAUUCUCUGUAUCUUUUUUUGCGAGUAGUUGCAGGGGUGAAACUGAAACCAACAGCAGCUCUGAAAGAUUGCUUACACUUGUGUCUUGUAAUAGCAGCUCCGAAAGAUUGCUUACACUUGUGUCUUGUAUUAUUCACAUCUGUACCGUAGUUUCUUUUAUCUAAUUCUCAUAAAACAGAAUAAACAAAUUAAUUUUCUGGGACUUCUAGAAGUUGUUAUAUAAUAUUUCUUGAAACACAUUAAAAGUUAUAUUACUAGAUGUCAUCAUCAUUCUUUAAUUAUUAUAUGUUUAACUGUGAUGAUUUAAUUUCUCUAAUGUUGCUAAAGGCACAAAAACGUAACUUGACCUCUGUUUGAGUGUAAUUACUUGAAGGGUUUUAAAGAUGAACAACAGGUGUAAUUUAUUUAUUUGAUACUGACUUAAAUCAUAAUUAAUUUUAAAAUGUGUCUAACUUGUGGAUGUUUUUACUUCAUGUUAUGUUAUUGUGUUUCUUCUGAUGCAUAAUGUUGUUUAGCAAGAACCACUGUUUAACAUAAAUUCAAUUUAUAAUUAAAUACUUGGGUCAAUAAAACAGGAAAUAAUCAGGUAAACUUAUUAAUAUCAUAAUAAUUUAUCCUUUUUUAUUUAGACCAAAAGGAAGAACAUGCCUUCGAAUGUGAUAUUUGUCACUACAGUAUCCCGUCCUACCAGGAGUACUCUUUUCACAGACAACUUCAUCUAUCUCAGCCUCAAGGAUUUGUGUGCCACUUGUGUUACACAGUAAUUAGCCGAAAGGAUCAUCUGCUACGUCAUAUGAGAACCCGCCACCCUCCUAACGGAGAGUCCCCAGUUUGUACUAUCUGCUCUAGGUCAUUCCGGGGCAGCAAGUCCCUUGCUCGUCACAUGCGUGCCCGUCACGUACAGUUAACUGCUAGAGGAAAUCGAAAAGUGGAACCCACGAUGUUGAGCCUGUCAACAAACAUUAAAGAGGAUUUCACGUGUCAUACCAAUGACUAGAUGCUAAAGGUGGUAUGGUUUUUUCAAGAUAACAGUGUUUUCUUACAAUACCUUGGUGACAAUUAUCUACCAGUACUUUUUAACUUCUCAAGAUUUUUUAUUAUACAAGCAAGUGUGUAAUUUUUAUUAAUUAUUAGCUUAGAAAAAUGUAAAUUAACAAUGUUUAACCCAUUAGUAGUAGAUCCAAGAAAUAGUAUUGGUAUAUUAAAAUCUAUUACACACAGUACUUAACAUUUAAUCUUGAAUUUGUUUUGUUUCCUUCAUGUGUAGACAUUUUUUGUUACAUGUUAUAUUUAAGAUUUAACUAAGGAUAUACACACACACACUUCUCCUGACUGAGUAUGAAAACAUAAACAUGUUUUCUAAAGUUAGGAAUUAUGAAAGGGUAUAGUAUUUUGCGUUGUUUGCCGCAUCAACACAGGCUUCAUAAAGCCUGAUUUGUUUUUUGAAAGAAAAUUUUAAGUUGGACAAUCUGUGUUCAGCUCUUACUUGGCUCUGGUGCUCACCAACCGAAUGCUUCAUCAGCCAUUCAGUCUCUACUUGGUUGUAUGGUUUACUAUGUAACCUGUUUCACUGAGUAAUCACACAAAAGUAAAUUUCUUGUAAGCAAUGCAGAACUCUAACUAACAGGAUAGAGGCUGUUUUGUUAAAACAACUGAGACAAACAUUGUUAUAAUUUUUUUAAACUAAAAGACAUGUACGUUGAAGGGUUGUGUUAAUAAACACAAUGAAUAGGAUUUCAUUGUUUAAUACUGAACAAAUUUGUUUCCUUCUUUUAUUUUCAUUCUUGAAUUAAGGUAUUGCUUUUACUGAAUCCUGUAAAGCUAUCUUUUGUUUGUUCAACUUUAGUGUUUCAGAAAAAUAUUGGAGUGGGGGGGGUUAUUAUUUUCAUUAGUUUGUGUAAACUCGGUUCAUAUUUUACAAUUGGUUUUACUUCUUAACUGUUUAACUCUAUUUUAACACAAUGAAAUCCAUGUCUUUUGUAGGCUUGUUUCACUGAUUAGCAGCAUGUGUUAUAAGUAUAUUUGAAGCUAAAUUAAGCUUUACCUGAUUGUAUGUCUUGGUUUCUUUUUUUUUUAUAAUUCUGUGACGUUGUUGUACAAAGAUUUUGUAAUCGAGAAACAUUGGUAUCAUGUUUCAACGACAUCUUUUUUACAUAAGAUGAUUUUCAUGUGUUUUAACAACUGAAAUUGAAUUGGAAAAUAACAAAUAAUGUUACUUCAGUAACAUCUUUAAUGUUUAAGGAGGAAUUGCAAGGUUUUAGGAUAUAAGUUAUAUAUAUGUGUUUGUAUUUUGUGGUGAUAGACUUGAUAAUAUUUGCAUUUAAUCCUCAUAUUACUGAUUCGUAAUUUUUAUGUUUUUGGUGCAUAAAUAGUUUGAGAAUCUAUUUAAAAUGGUGGUGGGGUCCAUAAAAAUUGGAACUUCCGAGAUUAAACUCAUUGUAAUGUUUGUGUUUAAACACUCGUUUGUUUGCCAAAACUAUUUGUGUAACAAUAACCUAAUUUGUGUUCACGAAAUUUAAAUAAAGUUUUUUCGUAUAAAUAAAGUUGUUGACGAUUCUUCUUAAAAAAAAGGAAACAGAACGAAAGUUUAGUAUAGCGACAGUUUUGGUGUAUGUGGGAAAAUAUCAAAGUGCGUGAUUGGUGUAUUUACUGGCUAAUCUUCUGCUAUUGUGGUACGCUACGCUGUUUAUUCGUUCGGGUGACUCGUCUACACGCACCUGCAUUUCAUUUUUACUACUGCCAUAUUUGUGAGGAAAUCUUAAUUCAGUUAAGUGAAAAAUACUCCUUAAACUGAAUUAAGUUAUUUAUUUAAUAUCUACACAUGGAAGUGGUGUAGUGUGCUGGACUGUGAAUUCAAGAUGUUUGUGUAGCUUUGUGUGAAUAUCUGAAACACACCAAGCUAUUUUUUUUAUCUGUCUAUUUACCCAUAUCUUUGUACUUGCCUACCCACACACUUAAAUGUUUUGUUUACUUAUCAUUAAUAUUCUACGAACUUUUCGCCUACCUACCUUCUUAUCUUUCUGAUUCCCCCACCCUAUAUAUUUGUCUAUCUGUAAUUAGCUGUAUGUCAUAUUACAUAAAAUAUCUUUUUGGUUAAAACUAAAUGGUAUUGAACCUUAAAAAACAAUUUAGAUAUUUAUAAAGCCUCUGUUCUGUAAUGAGAUGUCAUACACGUAAAAAGUAAUUCUAUUUGUUAACAGUGUAUAUUAUUUAAAAAGCUUUUUGGAAUUGUGUAUCCAAAUAAAGCAUUCUGUGUUAUUUAUUAAAUAUAUAUAUGAAAUUUGUCAAAAUUUAUAUACAUAAGUUAGUGGCUUUGCUUUAAAUUUGGUAGCUGUGUAUCUACAGCAUAUGUUUUUAACCAUUAGACUAAGUUUCAUGUCCAUUAAAACAUGAUGUGGAUGUUCAAGUAAAAACAUUGUGCUUGAAAUUUGUGUAGAAAGUUUUUUUUAGUUAACCAGGUGUACUUAUUGAUUGCAUCAUUUUGAAAGUAUUGUGGUACUCUUGUAAUUUCUAAAGUGGGCUGUAGAUCAUAGAACGAGAAGUGUGGACUGUUAUUGUGGCAGAUUGUGUGGAAAUGUAUUUCCAUAGAAAGAGACAAGUUCCUGAGUGCAUAUACUUAAGAGAGUGCCACAGUGAAAAAGAAAAUAUGACAGUAGGUAAAAAGUCAUUACAAACAGAAAUAAUAUUUAUAAUUGUAUAGCAGUUGUUUCUCAAGUGUUUAGUUAAGUGUAGAAUACCAGCUGUAAAGUUCAGUUUUUCAUGUACUUCAGUACAGGAACACAAUUAAUAUAGAAAAUAACUUUUCUGGAUGCUCAAGUUACUCUUUUAAUUUUAACUAAACAUGUUUACACUCCAGUGUGUACUGUGAUACAUUAAGUACAGGAACACAACGGUUUCAGCUUGUAAUGAUUUGUAUUGGAUCAGUUUUUUUUUCCCUGUAACUUUUAUGUAAUAUUUCAGAUGGAAAAAAUACGUUAUUCAAGUGAGUGACUAAAAUAUGACACAUUUUCUGGAUCAUACACGUGCUAUUGAACAUCACUUGCGUAGCCUUCCUCAGAGUUGGCCAACACAUCAGUAAGAUGCUGACAACAUUUCAUUGACUUAAGAUACUUAGAUGCAUUGUUUUUUUUAAGAGCUUCUCGAAUGUCACUGAUGCUGUAUUUUGUUUGUACUAUUAUCAGAAUAUUAUUUAUUUGAGAAGUUACAUCAAACAUUAUCUUGGAAAUAGUGCUCAGUAGAAUAAUGUAGAAAAUAGAUUAUUUUGGAAUAAUUUUCAUUAGAAAUGUUCUGUUUCUGUAGAACACAAGCGCCAACUGUAGAUUUCAAGUAAAGAAAUAAUUUGUCGUCACGUUUGUUUUCAGAUGGUGACCUAGUGUUGCGUCGGUUUCGGUCGUAUCGUCAGGGUCAACCAAGUUGGGCAGAUCGCCGUCGCAACACAUGUCCUUACUGUCAGAAGACUUUCUAUCAUGGAGGAACAUUGUUUCGGCACAUGAAGAUCCAUGAGUUUGACCAGAAAGAUACCACUGUGAUAUAUGUGGCAAGCCAUAUUCCAGGAGGAACAACAUGAGAAAACAUGGAAAAAAUGCUCAUGGAACUGGCAACAAAUAGCCAGGUUUUGAACCAGAAAGAUACCACUGUGAAAUAUGUGACAAGUCAUAUUCCAGGAGGAACAACAUGAGAAAACACAAAGAAGAUGCUCAUGGAACUGGCAACAUGUAGCCAGGUUUUGAACCAGAAAGAUACCACUGUGAAAUAUGUGACAAGUCAUAUUCCAGGAGGAACAACAUGAGAAAACACAAAGAAGAUGCUCAUGGAACUGGCAACAUGUAGCCAGGUUUUGAACCAGAAAGAUACCACUGUGAAAUUUGUGACAAGUCAUAUUCCAGGAGGAACAACAUGAGAAAACAUGGAAAAAAUGCUCAUGGAACUGGCAACAUGUAGCCAGGUUUUGAACCAGAAAGAUACUACUGUGAAAUUUGUGGCAAGUCAUAUUCCAGGAGGAACAACAUGAGAAAACACAGAGAAAAUGCUCAUGGAACUGGCAACAUGUAGCCACAGUGAUGGCUUCGUCAGUAACCUACGACUGAAGUGGAUGACACUGAAGAAAAGAAGUGGAGCAUACAGUUCUGAAGUUAAGUGUAAAGUUUGUCACCGAAACUUCCUCAACCAGCGAAAUCUAGCUCAGCAUAUGUGGCAACAUUUUUCUAACCGUGAGACACUCCAUUGUGAUGCCUGUGGCAAGUGUUACUCGAGGAGAGAUUCUCUAAAGAGACACAGAAAACUUGCCCAUGACCUACAGUAAGAAACCUCAAGUUGUGUUACAUAAAUACUUCUUUUAAAUUUAAUUGCAGUGUAUAAAACACUCUUGUUUCUGCUCUGUACUUAACUCAUUGGUAGUUAUUGUAACAUAGCUUGUUUAAAUUUUAUGUGGGAUAUUAAAAUAGUAUUUUCAUAUGUAUUUUUUGGUCAAGUAAAUACUAACCAAUAGUCUUGUAAACAUGAAAUGGCUAUAGUUUUAAGUCAAAUUGUUCAAUUAACUUUCUCAUCUUGGUAUUUAAUUGUUUGUUAAUUGAUGUUGUUCCUUGUCUUCUCAUAGACAUUGUGUUGUAUUAAAAACUGAAUCAGCUGGUCACUUAAAUAAGACCAUUGUAACAAGAAGUACUUAAUCAAAUAAAAUGAGGCAUUUGAUUAUCUUUUGUACAAAGA